CACCCGCUUGGGAGGGGUUGGCGCCAGAUUCGGGCUAGCGCCUGCGCAGUGCCAUUGUUUACGACGGUGUACCGGAAGCCGGCGCCAUCUUUUAGGUGCCCAGCUGCCUACAGCUCAUAACUCUACCAAGACUGUAUAAGAUCGCAAGCAGUAAGUGUUGGGGAGGAGAGAUGCCUUUGUGAAGCUACCUGCAACCUGUGUUCUAUCAAAGAAGCUUUAAGUCCUUGGUUCACCAAGCUAGACUUGGGUGGAAAGGAUGUCUUCGAUCUGCCCUUGAUACCUUACCUAGAGUGAACAAACAUUUUGUUCACGUCUCCCCCAGAAAACGUCACAACAGAGGCAGGAGGACAACCUCACAGAAGUAGAUGCACCUGGCUGUGAUUCAUGGUUUUAGAGUGGACUUCAGAACCCCUUGAAAAGAUAAUAUAGCUGAAAGAGUGACUGUUUCAGUCAGCUGAUUAUGGAGAAAAGAUGUCCAGGAUCUGGAGGUGGUUUAUGUGGCCAGAGUAUCCCCAGAGCUGAGAUUCCUCCAGUGACUGACGGCUUCGUGGUCCACUGGGCUCCUGGAGCAUCAGACAACAAUGGACAGCCUUUAAAUUGGUGGCCGUUUGCCGCUGCUCAGGCGCUAACAGACUGACACCUGUAACAUUAGCCACUGUGGCAGUGUGGGGGUCACCUCUAGGCCAUUUAGGAAGAUCAACACUAGGCCUGCUUCUGCCUUCUGCAGCUCACUGCUACCACUCAUUGCUGAUGGAAGCUGGGGAUUACAUAACUGCUAUGUGCUGGAACCACUGACGGUCACAGUGCAGAGUAACCUGUGCACUGAGAGCCACACAUCUCCGGCUUCUAAAACUUUGAACAGAAAGCCUUCCGCUCUCAGGUCUUGAGUUGUCAGCUUGGGGUUUUUGCCAGCCCACGCUAGGCCUUGGGAACUCAGGAGCCAGGGAUUGUCUCCACUAGAAGAGUUUUUCUUUACCUGCCCACCAAUUUCUAUCCUUAAGGACCCCAGGCAAAUGAUUAAGGAUGCAGUAUGAGAACACACUUUCCUAUGACAGGGCCAGCCUUUUUGUCUCCCAGCAGUUGACUAGCUCAGUGUGCACCCCAGCCCUGGCACAACACACACCGCAGCCUUGAGGAACCUUGUGAAGAAUUAAUUGGCCUAUUUUAUGGAAACUGAGGCACUAGUAGGCAUGAGGGGCCAAGCCUCAUGGCCAAAGGUAGACAGGAAUGAAGUGGCUAUUACACCCUAGGCCCAGCCUCCCCAACAGGCUUUCUGCCAGGAGACAUAGUCUGCAGGGAGAGGAGGUGGGAUGUCAGCAACACCUGUCUACUGGGAUUCUGCUCUGAGCUCAGGAACCCUGUGGCUCUAGGAGCCUCUAGGCUACAGCCUUCUGUUGGGCAGCUCCUCUCUUCCCAUGCCUGUUCUUUCCGGUACUCCUGGACCCCUCUGACUAGUCACUGGCAGGCACCCAUAUGCAGCAAUGUCUGCAGCUCUCAACUAUGUGUGGAUAGCAGAGCUAUGUAGAAAUCUACAAUCAAGAGGAGUCACAGCAUCUGUUACAGGUGGUGAAUGAAUGCCCCUAACACUAGGCCACAUCAGUUUCACAGGGAAAGUGUCAGCUCCCGGCAACUACAGUGAGCUCCCAACCAAUAGGGGGUUGGGCCAUGCCUGCCUCUACACACAGCUGAUGUCAGCAGAGAUGCCCUGGCUUCAAGCCCAGCACAGCGAUUAGGAAAACACAAUUCUUAAUAUCCGAUAUGUUUUAAUGAAAAUAAAAUGCUCUCAA